AGUGUUAAAGCAGCAGUUGGGGCAAAUGAAACAGAGGACAGAGACAACAAAGAAGAAGAAAAAAAGAAAAUUAAAAUGAAGCAAGAAGAGCAUUGAAAUAACAUGAAUAUUGUUUUGACACCGACAAAACUGCGCACACAAUGAGAGUUUAUCUUUGCCCUUCCACUGAGACAAGACACAAAGUACCUCAUUAUCAGAUAACCCAUCCUGAACCAGUUUCUAGCCAUCAGGAAUAGUGUUUUCAUCUAUAGCCAGCUUUCUUUCAUCUCUUGAUGAGGAGAAAAAGAGUCUACAGUAUUAGAAUAAAGUAUGGAAACAACCAGUACCACAGCAUCCAUGAAGACUUACAGCUCCAUUAACCUCUAUGCAGUUUUCCACAAAACCCUGUAGGAAACACUAAACGAAGAAACCAUAAAGAAGUACUUUGCAUAUUUUGUGCUUCAGCAAAAUGACAAGGGAAGGAUUGAAGGAAAACAGGAGAGAUUUUUUUUCCAAAAAAAGUGGAAAACAAUAAAG